AAGUUAGCCAAUAAAACCUUCUCAACAAAUGGGUCUGUCGCAGAACGCCUCACACGGCUUACUUUUGUACACACUGCAUUGUCUUGAGCACUUUCCUUGUGCUCCACACUGUUUAGUUUUGUUUUGUUUUCAGAGUAGAAAUCCCCUCCAGUUUAUAGCCUCUUUAUAUGUCUCAAAUUGCAUGAAUAUUUUCUGGCUGUUGGAAACCUGAAUGCUUUUAGACCCAAAUGGAAAAUUUCUGAAAUGCUGGAUUAUCUAUUUUUAAACAAGCAGUUGACUUAAAACUUUCUGUGGCAACUUCUGGUUUUCUGAUGGUCCCCAGUGAGAGAAAUCUGACAGUACACUGGGUCACUGGGACUGUCUCUGUGAAGGUUUGCUUGAGAUGAAAAGGAUAUUGCAGCUUCAGCAGUGUUGAACUGUGUGUUUAAAAUGUGAAUUACUGUUCUUGUAUACUGUAAUUGAUUACGCGGGCUGGGGGGGGGGUCAAAGAACUUGACAGGUUGUGUUGAUGCUCUUAGUUGAGUCUUGAAAAGUAAAUAUUAACGCUACAGAAAUGCAUGAGUUUCAAUAUAUUUUUUGUCUUUGUUUGCAUUGUAUAACUUUAACGAGUGAGUUUAAAAUUAUUUAAUUUCCUUAGAAAAAUAGCACCAUUUGGGAAAAAAAACUGGUGUUACGAAGAACAUAAAUGCACUGUUUUUAUUUUUAUUUUUAUUUUAUAUAAUUUAAAUUGACUUUUCCCACGUCUUUAAGUUUGAAACUGUUAAGCUGAAUAAAAACUUAAGCUGCAAAUCGAUAACUUCGCUACAUUACAAGGAGCAUAGAAAUGUUUACAAACGGCUUACAGAAUUGCAUGUGCAGGGUCCAUCCACACCACACUUGUAAUUGCACAGAACCCAUGCCAGCUCAGAGUUUAGGUGUACACACGUACCCAGCCGAGUGUUUUUAGAGUAACUACUGCACAAAUUGACAAUAGGUCAUAGGUCAUUCUCUCUCUCUCCCCCCCUUUUGCUUCCCUUUUCUUUUUCUCCCCUAUUUCCUUUCCUUCCCCCUACCCCCUAACUCAUGAAAAGACUCUAUGGACUGAAAAGCCCCAGGCUGAAAGGACUGAACUGCCUUGAUUGACAUGGGGAAGGGGGUUAGUAGACUGUGUAUCGGCAGCACAGGCUGCAGCUCGACGUGUGGGUCUGAUGGCCAGCGUGCAGGGCAGAGCAUUUUGCACACUGUUUGUUUUCCUGUCUUGCACUUACAAAUAAGGUCUAUGGGAGUAGCAUGGAAAACGGUUGUUGUUUUUCCCUUUUUCUUUUUUAAUUGCUUUUGUUUAAAAUUUGAUCGCCUUAACUACUGUAAACAUAGCCUAUUUUUGUGCUUAAGAUACUGAAUGGAAAACUCCAUUGUGUGUUGCUGGACUGUUUUGGAAAUAUUUGGUCAAAUGUAUGUUAAUUUGGCUGUAAUGGCAUUUAAAGCAAGCAAACAAACAAACAAAAAAAGCUGUGAAAAUGGCCUUGGAGCAUUAUCUUUAGUUACUUGAAGAGUUUCUGGGUUUUUUUUUAAUACAGUUUAUGUUAAAAUAAUCUUUAUUAAUUUAGAGAAGACAAUCAAUGUCUGUGAAAGAACGGACUCUUUGGAUUUUUUUUUUUUUUUUGUGGUCAUUGUGAGUGAUUGCUUUUUCUUUUCCUUAGUUUCACAUUCUUCCUUUGUUGUAAAUCUUAGACUGACAUCUAGCUUUGACAAUCAUAGUAUGUUUUAUUUCCUGAGGGGGAAUAACUUACAAUACUGUUUAGUUUUGUACUAUUGGUGUGUUGGUGAAUUUUUAAACUGUGUGCUAACUGCAAUAAAUUAUAUGAACUGAGAA
rnacentral:lncRNA from 1 species